ensembl:lncRNA
CUUUUGAUUUGAGCAAGACUUGACCAGAUACUUCAAGUUAAGUGCAGUUUGAUGAACUGAAGCUUGAUGAAUGGUUGCAAGAUCAGACCUUUACACCAAUCAACUCAAAGCUGCCUUUAAAGACCCUUCACCUCUAUGUUUAUAAUGUUGCCUUCUAGAAAAAACACUAUUCAAUAUAAACCUUGCUUAUUUCCCUUUGCAGUAGCAUUAAAUCCUGAAAUUAAAUUAAUUAGUUGCUAAUUUUCACUCUGUAAAAAUGUGUUGACACAAGGAGUAUAAUAAACAGUGGUUGGGUCACAUAAAUAGUGAAGCAUUUACCUGACCCUGAGCCAUUAUUAUAAUUAGCUCACUCUCACACAUUAUAGUCGGUUCUUCAAUCCGCCACUCAGUGAACAUCCGAAAGGACAUCCACAAAACAGUACGAGCUCACAGGCCCAGACAGACUGGGGAGAACUGUUUCCAUCCUGCAAUAGCAUAGCAGAAUGCAGUGAUCAAGUACAGCAGGAAUGGCUGUAGAAGAGCAGAGAUGAAGAUCUCCCACUUCUCCUCACAUCUGAGUUGACUCAGGUUCUGUGGGCAAACAUACCUGUGAGUUUCUUUCACAGAGAGGAACAGUUUCAACAGGAAAAGAAUUCUGGGCUGAAGUUUUCAGAGAACCCAAAAAUCUUUUAUUCUAGGAGAUGGCAGCAGAGGGAUUGUCUGACAAAAUGGAGUCUGACCUGGAAAGGCAUAUGAAGUGUGGAACUGAACUCCUCCAUGUGGAAAAAAUGGAACCCAUUGACAUUCAUUGAUGUUUGUUGAACAUUUAUGGAGACCAAACAGUGGAUGUGAGCGCUGCGAGGUGGUAGGUGAUUCUACUCCCCUUCUCACAAGAAUAACCUACCUCAUUCAUGAAGAUGACUUUUUUUAACCCUGUAGAUCAUUCCCUACAUAGGCUCCUGGUCCCUCCCCAUGACAGGACCAGUGGAACCAGCGGUGCUAUUUCUCUUCAUGUCUUUGUCCUUAAGAGAGGCCUAGGUGACAACAAAGCUGCUGACCAGAAGUUAUCUGGAAUGAGGGAAGAUGAAAAUAUGAGAGAGAAGCAAUGACUACUGCCUUCUGUACACCUUACUUUUCAUUUUGUAGUGAAACAUUGAGUUUGCACUGGUAUUGGCUUUUUUUCUUACUUUUAUUUUUAAGAAAUUCUUUUUUAUAUUGCUGACUUUCCAAGACUCUCUCCUUUUUAGAGGGAUAAUUCUUUCCUUUCACAUUUGCAUGUCCUGUGCCAGAAACCAAAAAGAGGAAAGGAAACCUGGUCUUUUCUCCUGUUUUGUAUGCUUGCAUGUGUAUUUAAGAUUUUUCCUUUUCUGAUUCGAAACAUACAUACUAGCAGCCCAGUAGAAUUUAUACUUUCUUAGUUUUUUUUUUUAAUUAAUCUUCAUCAGACAUAGUUAAAAUGGAUACUCAGGCCUGGUAUAAGCUUAUUUCUUUAGUCAUCCACAUCCAAAGUAUAUGUUUGUAAUAAUCUGUGAAGCGACAGUAUGGCAGUCCUCCAGUUUCCAUACUAUCACUCAAUAGUUUUUUACCUCACUGUCAAGGAAUAUUAGCAAUCCCUAGGAGCAAGGAAGUCCAGAAGCUAUACCUGACAUUGCCCAAAACUCAUGACAAACUAAGUCCAAUCUGGACGUCACAUUUGGAAUAGAUGGUUACUUUCCUUCACAUCUCUAUUAUAGCUAGCUCAUUCACAUUUGUCUUGCCAAUCACGUGAGCAAAUUCAUGAGAAAAGCAAAUCAAAAAGCAUAACACGGCACUGACAAAUGUCUGGAUGAGAUAGGUGACCUAUCUGUUCCUCCCUCAAGUCUGGCAUGCAUGAGAUUUAUUCAUGAAUAAAGCUUUAUGACUGUACACUGCACUGCCAUCACAACACCCAUAUAUAACUUUAAGACAAUUCUGCCAGAUAUGCAUGGUCAGCAAAAUGGAGAGAAAGGUGCUGGGUGUUGGGUCCCAUGGUCAAAGGAAACUUGUGAAAGAAUAUUUCUCUGUGUCAGAGGAAUGCUACUUCCUUUCCGCAUGCAAAAUGGCAAUAGUCUCUAAAUUGUUUGAAGAGUCUUUCAUAAAUCUCAUUUAUACUGGCCUGGUAUUGGUAACUUAAAUAGUCCCUGUUAUAAAGCAGUCUUUUAACAGCAAUAGCAGUGCUUGGCAUAGCAAACACUUAGGCCCAGCUGCUCUGUGGGCAUUACUGCCAUAUCAUAAUAUCAUUGAUCUGUAAAAUAAAGAUAAACCUUGGAAAUAAGUAGCAAUGCUUCUUCUUCAGAGUUAUGUUUAAUGAAACAUACUUUUCAUGUAGUGAUUUAAUUUCAGUUGGACUAGUUUAAUAAGUAAGGUCAAGACCUUUUAAGAACUGCAGAGAUCAAUGUUGUUGAUCUACACAAAUUAGAGUUCCACAGCAUUACCCUUGAAGCAGUGUGGGAGGCUGAUAAAUGCACGAGAUGUGGUUUUAAGACAUAAUAUUGAAAACAGCAUUCCUGUGAUUAUAUAGCUAAUAUAACAUUUUGAUUUGGAAACUUGAAUAUGUGAACUGGAAGUCGUAACGUACCAAGCUUACUUCCUUUCUCUGCUAGUAAUGCAUUUUGUGUUCUUGAGGACCAUCUGCCCUUAUAAGACAAUUGUAGCUGUCCCAUAGAGUUACUGUGAGCAUUAGUUAAUUACCACUAUAUGCUUUGAACACAUAAAGCCCCAUAGCUCACAGAAACAUGUAUUAUAAAGUAUAACUAUGCAGUUAUUGGAAAAGUCCCUGAUUGUCUCUUUGAGACAACUGUCACGUAGCACUUACUAUACAUAGGAAGUGACACACAAUGACGAAGCAGUUAAAACUCAAAAUGAUAUUCUUGCUCCAAGACAGAGCAUUUGCAUUUUUGGAGAAUGGUCUUGUUUCUUUUUACAGAUUGGCUUAAGAAGCUUUCAGAAAGGCUAAAAAUACCUUUUUAUAUUAACUAGCUUUCCCUUUCUUUGAGCUAAGCACAGUGAGGUGUGGAAUGGUUUUGAUGAGCUCAUGAAUAUUGACACUAGAGCUACAAAGCUACAAACACUAGUGCAUCAUAUGAGCCCAUUUUACAUAGUGGUAGGAACUAUUCAUUACUAA